rnacentral:rRNA from 1 species
AGUGAACGCUGGCGGUAGGCCUAACACAUGCAAGUCGAACGGCAGCACAGUAAGAGCUUGCUCUUACGGGUGGCGAGUGGCGGACGGGUGAGGAAUACAUCGGAAUCUACUUUUUCGUGGGGGAUAACGUAGGGAAACUUACGCUAAUACCGCAUACGACCUACGGGUGAAAGCAGGGGAUCUUCGGACCUUGCGCGAUUGAAUGAGCCGAUGUCGGAUUAGCUAGUUGGCGGGGUAAAGGCCCACCAAGGCGACGAUCCGUAGCUGGUCUGAGAGGAUGAUCAGCCACACUGGAACUGAGACACGGUCCAGACUCCUACGGGAGGCAGCAGUGGGGAAUAUUGGACAAUGGGCGCAAGCCUGAUCCAGCCAUACCGUGUGGGUGAAGAAGGCCUUCGGGUUGUAAAGCCCUUUUGUUGGGAAAGAAAAGCAGCAGGUUAACACCCCGCUGUUCUGACGGUACCCAAAGAAUAAGCACCGGCUAACUUCGUG